rnacentral:rRNA from 1 species
UGCUAAUACCGCAUAAUGUCUACGGACCAAAGGGGGCUUCGGCUCUCGCCUUUAGAUUGGCCCAAGUGGGAUUAGCUAGUUGGUGAGGUAAUGGCUCACCAAGGCAACGAUCCCUAGCUGGUUUGAGAGGAUGAUCAGCCACACUGGGACUGAGACACGGCCCAGACUCCUACGGGAGGCAGCAGUGGGGAAUAUUGCACAAUGGGCGCAAGCCUGAUGCAGCCAUGCCGCGUGUGUGAAGAAGGCCUUCGGGUUGUAAAGCACUUUCAGUCAGGAGGAAAGGUUAGUAGUUAAUACCUGCUAGCUGUGACGUUACUGACAGAAGAAGCACCGGCUAACUCCGUGCCAGCAGCCGCGGUAAUACGGAGGGUGCGAGCGUUAAUCGGAAUUACUGGGCGUAAAGCGUACGCAGGCGGUUUGUUAAGCGAGAUGUGAAAGCCCCGGGCUCAACCUGGGAACUGCAUUUCGAACUGGCAAACUAGAGUGUGAUAGAGGGUGGUAGAAUUUCAGGUGUAGCGGUGAAAUGCGUAGAGAUCUGAAGGAAUACCGAUGGCGAAGGCAGCCACCUGGGUCAACACUGACGCUCAUGUACGAAAGCGUG